CGCGGGAAAAGGGACACUAGCAACAAAAGGAGUUAGAUAUGGAUCAUUGGGUCUGCGCGCGGGCCGCAGCUUGAACCAAUUAUUGGUGUCAUCUUGAUCCAAUUUAAUCAAUCCGAGGGGGGACUCGAGGGGGGCGGGUGCAAACGUUGGUCAAAUACACCCCCUCCCCUCCCCCCUUCUGCUGUGACCACUGGUGACUGGACCUGAGCCCUAGGACCAUGCCUCAGGACUACCUGGUAUGAUGACUCCUUGCUGUCCCCAGUCCACCUGGCCGUGCUGCUGCUCCAGUUUCAACUGUUCUGCCUGCGGCUAUGGAACCCUGACCUGUUCACCGGACGUGCUUGUUGCACCCUCGACAACUACUAUGAUUAUUAUUAUUUGACCAUGCUGGUCAUUUAUGAACAUUUUAACAUUUUAACAUUUUGACCAUGUUCUGUUUUAAUAUCCACCCUGCACAGCCAGAAGAGGACUGGCCACCCCUCAUAGCCUGGUUCCUCUCUAGGUUUCUUCCUAGGUUUUUGGCCUUUCUAGGGAGUUUUUCCUAGGGAGUUUUUCCUAGCCACCGUGCUUC
rnacentral:lncRNA from 1 species